UACGGAGGGUGCAAGCGUUGUCCGGAAUCACUGGGCGUAAAGGGCGCGUAGGCGGCCUGGUAAGUAGGGGGUGAAAUCCUGCGGCUUAACCGCAGGGCUGCCUUCUAAACUGUCAGGCUUGAGCACGGUAGAGGCAGAUGGAAUUCCCGGUGUAGCGGUGGAAUGCGUAGAGAUCGGGAAGAACAUCAGUGGCGAAGGCGGUUUGCUGGGCCGUUGCUGACGCUGAGGCGCGACAGCGUGGGGAGCAAACAGG
rnacentral:rRNA from 1 species